CACAGCUCCAGGAGCUGGCGAAGCUCAAAGCUCGGCCUGAGAGCAUCCCUGAAACCCUCCUGAGAGGUCCUGUCAGCCCCAGACCAGUCUCCAGUUCCCCCUCUUGCUUGCCGAGAUACAGAGAUCUUUGUCAAUGAUGGAGAUGUAGUAUAAAAGAGAAAUAAGCCUUUGUUGUUAAGCCCCUGAGACGGUGGGGCUCGUUUGUGACCACAGCAUACUCUGGCCUGUACUGACCAUCGCAACACGAAUAGAACUGUUGGUCCAUCAUAUAUUUCAGCUCGCACGUCUGCCUCCUACUGGACUGGAAGCUCCCUGAGGCAAGGUGCAUCAUUUGUCAAAACAUUAACUGUACCAGCGGAAAGAAGUAGAUAUCACUUUUGUGGUCCCCCUACCUCUUUUUAAAAGUGGAAAUCAACUGUUGGGCUCCAUCGAUUCCCCAUGAAGCCCUUGGCCUGGCUCCCAUCCCGGACCCAGGCAGAGUGCGGACGGACGGACAGAGAAGGCAUCCCUCCCACCCCACCUUCCGCCCUUGACCUCGGGUCUACGGACGGACGUUUCAGACGCACGAAGCUUGCGGAGCACGAACUGCCUAGUUAAGUCACGAUCCUCACAGAGAAAGCAAAGCAAAACAGCAGCGCCAACAGCAGAUCCCCAAAGCGGCGCGGGGCCAACGCAGAGGAGAGCGGCCAGGAGGGGGCGAGGCAGACCACUUUGAAGUGCGCCCAACAGGAGGCCCGUCGCGUCCAAGAGGAGCAGGCCGAUCGCCCGCGCGCCCUGGCCGGGUGCACCGGGGAGCCAGCGACCUUGGCCGCUCACCGCCCAGGGUAGACGUGAGGGCCGUCCGUCCUCUCCUCCGGCCUCGCGGAAAACCCGGGCAGUGGGAGGUGCCCGACC